rnacentral:rRNA from 1 species
GAACGAGAAAGUGGAGCAAUCCAUGAGUAAAGUGGCGCACGGGUGAGUAACACGUGACUAACCUACCUUUGAGUGGGGGAUAACCUAGGGAAACCUGGGCUAAUACCGCAUAAUACCUAUGGGUCAAAGCGAGCAAUCGCGCUUUAAGAGGGGGUCGCGGCAGAUUAGCUAGUUGGUGAGGUAAUGGCUCACCAAGGCGAUGAUCUGUAUCCGGCCUGAGAGGGCGCACGGACACACUGGAACUGAAACACGGUCCAGACUCCUACGGGAGGCAGCAGUGGGGAAUUUUGCGCAAUGGGGGAAACCCUGACGCAGCAACGCCGCGUGGAGGAUGAAAUCCCUUGGGAUGUAAACUCCUUUCGAUCGGGACGAUAAUGACGGUACCGAUAGAAGAAGCCCCGGCUAACUUCGUGC